CCUACGGGUGGCAGCAGUGGGGGAUAUUGCACAAUGGGGGAAACCCUGAUGCAGCGACGCCGCGUGUGGGAAGACGGUCCUAUGGAUUGUAAACCACUGUCCUCAGGGACGAAAAUGACGGUACCUGGGGAGGAAGCUCCGGCUAACUACGUGCCAGCAGCCGCGGUACUACGUAGGGAGCAAGGGUUGUCCGGAAUUACUGGGUGUAAGGGGAGCGUUGGCGGGGAUGCAAGUCGGGUGUCAAGACUAACGGCUAAACCGAGAGUCCCACUCAAAACUGCAGCUCUUGAGUGAAGUAGAGGCAGGCGGAAUUCCUGGUGUAGCGGGGAAAUGCGUAGAUAUUAGGAGGAACACCAGUGGCGAAGGCGGCCUGCUGGGCUUUUACGGACGCUGAGGCUCGAAGGUGUGGGGAGCAAACAGGAUUAGAUACCCCAGUAGUC
rnacentral:rRNA from 1 species